CUGCGAUGAUGGGAACAUUUUUCGUCAACAGCAUCUCACUGUGUGAAUGGUGAAGACUCUGGUCUGAGCAG